rnacentral:rRNA from 1 species
AAUUAGGAGAGUUUGAUCCUGGCUCAGAACGAACGCUGGCGGCACGCUUAACACAUGCAAGUCGAACGGCAGCGGGUCCUUCGGGAUGCCGGCGAGUGGCGAACGGGUGAGUAAUACGUGGAAACCUAUCCCGAGGUGGGGGAUAACAGCUGGAAACGGCUGCUAAUACCGCAUAAGCCCUAAGGGGGAAAGAUUUAUCGCCUUGGGAGGGGUCCACGUCGGAUUAGCU